AUUGAACGCUGGCGGCAGGCCUAACACAUGCAAGUCGAGCGGAUGAAGGGAGCUUGCUCCUGGAUUCAGCGGCGGGCGGGUGAGUAAUGCCUAGGAAUCUGCCUGGUAGUGGGGGAUAACGUCCGGAAACGGGCGCUAAUACCGCAUACGUCCUGAGGGAGAAAGUGGGGGAUCUUCGGACCUCACGCUAUCAGAUGAGCCUAGGUCGGAUUAGCUAGUUGGUGGGGUAAAGGCCUACCAAGGCGACGAUCCGUAACUGGUCUGAGAGGAUGAUCAGUCACACUGGAACUGAGACACGGUCCAGACUCCUAAGGGAGGCAGCAGUGGGGAAUAUUGGACAAUGGGCGAAAGCCUGAUCCAGCCAUGCCGCGUGUGUGAAGAAGGUCUUCGGAUUGUAAAGCACUUUAAGUUGGGAGGAAGGGCAGUAAGUUAAUACCUUGCUGUUUUGACGUUACCAACAGAAUAAGCACCGGCUAACUUCGUG
rnacentral:rRNA from 1 species